rnacentral:rRNA from 1 species
UACGGGGGGGGCAAGCGUUGUUCGGAAUUACUGGGCGUAAAGGGCUCGUAGGCGGCCAACUAAGUCGGAUGUGAAAUCCCCAGGCUCAACCUGGGAACUGCAUCCGAUACUGGAUGGCUUGAAUCCGGGAGAGGGAUGCAGAAUUCCAGGUGUAGCGGUGAAAUGCGCAGAUAUCAGGAGGAACACCGGUGGCGAAGGCGGUUCUCUGGGCCUUACCUGACACUGAGGAGCGAAAGCGUGGGGAGCGAACAGG